UGUCAGCACCAAAUAAUUUUUUUUUUUUAAUUUUCUUUUCUUUCUUUGCUUUGUUUCUCCGUCUCCUCCACGCCGUCGCGUCUCACCUCUGCCUUGGGUCUUCUUCAUCCUUGUCGACUCAGGCUUGGCUCGUGGUGGUGAUUGAGUUCGUUUUCAAGCCAGUAGCACCGGACUCGCCCUCUGCAACUCCGGUCGUCAUCUCCGUCGUGGCUGAGUUUCAGAUCGAGAAAGCUCGUUCUCUCCAAUGGUGGGCUUUAGUGUGGUGAAGCCGAUUGAGUUUGGCUCGUGGUUCGUUUUUUCAAUCAAUUUAGAUAUUGGAUUUUCUGGGCUAGAGAGCAGAUUCUACUUUAAUCAAUUUAGAUAUUGGAUUUUCUGGAAAAACCCAAACAUCUUUGUCUUUACGUAAUAGUAAUAGUAAUAGAUCGAGUAUAAGUAGACAUAAACCGCAGUCGAAGCAACUGAGAAGAACGAUGUCCAUUGCCAGUGAUAGUUUUCGGCAUUUAGCAAGAAUCAUUGCGAUCUCUGUUCCCUCUAGAGUCCAUCAACAUGUUUCAAAUGAAUAAACAUCUGACCAAGCACAUAUGGCCUUUAGAGGAUAAUGCAGGAGAAUCAGCUGGCUCUAGCUCUUAUUCCGAACAGUAGAGAUCGGUUCAGGACUUUAAACACGGCAAAGCCAUAGCCAAAGACUAAAAAGGUAUUGCAUUUUGAGACUUGGAAGCAUGCGUUUUCUGAAUUUGCAAGCAAGUUGCAUCCUUUUGAAGUGAUCUCAAAUGUUGUCUUUUUGGUAUAUAGUCACAAAAUUAGAAUGAAUAUGUUAGAGUUCUUCUUGAGUGUGGUUUGUGUAAAGUGUUUAUUUUUAACUGUUGUUUGAACAUGUUAAUCUGAGAGGAGGAGGCUUUGGCAAUCAAGACAGCAGGGAAGGCGUGGUAGCAGACUAUGAUCUCCAACAGUGACUAAACCAAGUUUGAGAGUUGAGGUUUUCCGGGAUCAAACUGAAGGUGAAGUACAUCGUCCACACAAAAAGUGCAAGUAGACUCCAGGACAAUCUUCAUCCACCUUUUUCAAAUGAUCCAGGAAAAAAUAAUCAAGGCUGUACCACAUUUGGAGAGCAUCAUCUAAAACCGUAUGUUUUUGAAAAAUUCAGUCGAACAUAUGAUGUAUGUACACUUUUCUGAGAGUGUCUUAGAAUCUUCACCAAAAUAAGUGAAUCGUGCAUUUCUUCUCCAACAGUUCUCAUACCGGUUGAGCAAGCGACACUGUUGAGAAGUACCUUGUGAUGCUCUUUGUUUCCUUCACCGAGAUCCCUUUUUAAACGUUGAAAUUGUUCUCAUUUUACACGUUCAUUUUCCCUGAUACUAGGAGGUUUCAACGAAUUCCACAGUUCCUUGGCUGUCUCCUUCUGAGUUAUGGUAUUCAUGAUGGAUUUUAAUUUCUUAGGCAAGUAGUUAUUCACCUUAACGUAUGUUAGCUUCUUUUCUACAAACUAUUGUCUAUGUUUCUCCAUUGAAUAUAUAUCUAUCCUCGGGCUGGCU